GCAAGAAUGAGUGGUUUCUCAUUGAAGGAGGACAUGGCCUCCACUAUCUCCUGUGUGAAGGUUUGCCCAACUCCAGAUGAUCCAAUCAGCAUAGUAGGCUUGAUGGUCUGGACAGCCUCUAAGAGAGUAUUGACAGGUUCAUGAUCGUGCGCCCAAGGUUGCUUGAAGUGUUGAAGGGUAUCCACACGGGAUUUAACGAUCAAGCCCUUAGAAUCCACAAGCCAGAUUCUCUUGCGAGUUUCUUCUACUGGAGUAUUUGUCUGUUUCGACAUCUCAAGAGCUACAAGCUCCGCAAUACCAGUACCAGCCUCGCCAGCACCGAGGAACAAGAGAGUGUGUUCUGCUAGAGUUCCACCAACCAACUUUAGUGCUGCCAUGAGCCCUGCAAGGACCACAGAAGCUGUGCCCUGAAUGUCAUCAUUGAAGACAAGAUGUGAUUUGCUGUACUUAGCAAGCAAUUCGAAUGCAUUAUGGUUCGCAAAAUCCUCAAACUGAAUAAGAACUUUCUCUCCAUAGUUUUGCUUGACGGCGGACAUGAACUCCUCUAACAGUUCAGCAUAUUCCUGGCCAGUAGCACGCUUUUG
rnacentral:misc_RNA from 1 species